CUACGGGUGGCUGCAGUGAGGAAUAUUGCACAAUGGGGGGAACCCUGAUGCAGCAACGCCGCGUGGAGGAUGACGCAUUUCGGUGUGUAAACUCCUUUUAUAUGUCAAGAAAAUGACGGUAGCAUAUGAAUAAGCACCGGCUAACUCCGUGCCAGCAGCCGCGGUAAUACGGAGGGUGCAAGCGUUAUUCGGAAUCACUGGGCGUAAAGGACGCGUAGGCGGGUUGGAAAGUCAGGUGUGAAAUCCUACAGCUUAACUGUAGAACUGCACUUGAAACUCUUAAUCUAGAGUAUGGGAGGGGGAGAUGGAAUUAGUGGUGUAGGGGUAAAAUCCGUAGAUAUCACUAGGAAUACCUAAAGCGAAGGCGAUCUCCUGGAGCAUUACUGACGCUAAGGCGUGAAAGCGUGGGGAGCAAACAGGAUUAGAUACCCCGGUAGUC
rnacentral:rRNA from 1 species